rnacentral:rRNA from 1 species
GAUGAACGCUAGCGGCAGGCCUAAUACAUGCAAGUCGAGGGGUAACAUGAGAGCUUGCUCUUGAUGACGACCGGCGUACGGGUGCGUAACGCGUAUGCAACCUACCUAUUACAGAGGGAUAGCCCAAGGAAACUUGGAUUAAUACCUCAUGGUACUAUCAGAUGGCAUCUGAAGAUAGUUAAAGAUUUAUCGGUAAUAGAUGGGCAUGCGUGACAUUAGCUAGUUGGUAGGGUAAAGGCUUACCAAGGCUACGAUGUCUAGGGGACCUGAGAGGGUGAUCCCCCACACUGGUACUGAGACACGGACCAGACUCCUACGGGAGGCAGCAGUAGGGAAUAUUGGUCAAUGGAGGCAACUCUGAACCAGCCAUGCCGCGUGUAGGAAGAAGGCUUUCUGAGUCGUAAACUACUUUUAUACGGGAAGAGAUAGCCAUGCGUGGUGAAGAGACGGUACCGUAAGAAUAAGCACCGGCUAACUCCG